CGGGGUGUGGCGCAGCCUGGUUAGCGCGCGUGGUUUGGGACCACGAGGUCACCAGUUCAAAUCUGGUCACCCCGACCU
rnacentral:tRNA from 1 species